rnacentral:rRNA from 1 species
UAAUACGUAGGGAGCAAGCGUUGUUCGGAAUUAUUGGGCGUAAAGAGCGCGUAGGCUGUUCGGUAAGUCCGAUGUGAAAGCCCAUGGCUUAACCGUGGAACUGCAUUGGAAACUGCCGGGCUGGAGUGCGGGAGAGGAGAGUGGAAUUCCCAGUGUAGAGGUGAAAUUCGUAGAUAUUGGGAGGAACACCGGUGGCGAAGGCGGCUCUCUGGACCGCAACUGACGCUGAGGCGCGAAAGCUAGGGGAGCAAACGGGAUUAGAUACCCCGGUAGUCCUAGCCGUAAACGAUGGGCACUAGGUGUUGGAGGUAUCGACCCCUCCAGUGCCGCAGCUAACGCAUUAAGUGCCCCGCCUGGGGAGUACGGUCGCAAGACUAAAACUUAAAUGAAUUGACGG